rnacentral:rRNA from 1 species
AAGACAUUGUGUCUUCGAGUCGUUGAUUUCACACUGCCGAGAAAAGCCUCUAGAUAGAAAAUAGGUGCCCGUACCGCAAACCGACACAGGUAGUCAAGAUGAGAAUUCUAAGGUGAGCGAGCGAACUCUCGUUAAGGAACUCGGCAAAAUGACCCCGUAACUUCGGGAGAAGGGGUGCUCUUUAGGGUUAACGCCCAGAAGAGCCGCAGUGAAUAGGCCCAAGCGACUGUUUAUCAAAAACACAGGUCUCUGCUAAACCGUAAGGUGAUGUAUAGGGGCUGACGCCUGCCCGGUGCUGGAAGGUUAAGAGGAGUGGUUAGCUUCUGCGAAGCUACGAAUCGAAGCCCCAGUAAACGGCGGCCGUAACUAUAACGGUCCUAAGGUAGCGAAAUUCCUUGUCGGGUAAGUUCCGACCCGCACGAAAGGCGUAACGAUUUGGGCACUGUCUCAACGAGAGACUCGGUGAAAUCAUAGUACCUGUGAAGAUGCAGGUUACCCGCGACAGGACGGAAAGACCCCGUGGAGCUUUACUGUAGCCUGAUAUUGAAAUUCGGCACAGCUUGUACAGGAUAGGUAGGAGCCUUUGAAACGUGAGCGCUAGCUUACGUGGAGGCGCUGGUGGGAUACUACCCUAGCUGUGUUGGCUUUCUAACCCGCACCACUUAUCGUGGUGGGAGACAGUGUCAGGCGGGCAGUUUGACUGGGGCGGUCGCCUCCUAAAAGGUAACGGAGGCGCUCAAAGGUUCCCUCAGAAUGGUUGGAAAUCAUUCAUAGAGUGUAAAGGCAUAAGGGAGCUUGACUGCGAGACCUACAAGUCGAGCAGGGUCGAAAGACGGACUUAGUGAUCCGGUGGUUCCGCAUGGAAGGGCCAUCGCUCAACGGAUAAAAGCUACCCCGGGGAUAACAGGCUUAUCUCCCCCAAGAGUUCACAUCGACGGGGAGGUUUGGCACCUCGAUGUCGGCUCAUCGCAUCCUGGGGCUGUAGUCGGUCCCAAGGGUUGGGCUGUUCGCCCAUUAAAGCGGUACGCGAGCUGGGUUCAGAACGUCGUGAGACAGUUCGGUCCCUAUCCGUCGUGGGCGUAGGAAAUUUGAGAGGAGCUGUCCUUAGUACGAGAGGACCGGGAUGGACAUACCUCUGGUGUACCAGUUGUCGUGCCAACGGCAUAGCUGGGUAGCUAUGUGUGGACGGGAUAAGUGCUGAAAGCAUCUAAGCAUGAAGCCCCCCUCAAGAUGAGAUUUCCCAACUUCGGUUAUAAGAUCCCUCAAAGAUGAUGAGGUUAAUAGGUUCGAGGUGGAAGCAUGGUGACAUGUGGAGCUGACGAAUAC